UGCGGUUGUAGCUGUGUGGCGGGUGGGCUGUGUUUUGUUUGUGCGUGUCCCCUCUUAGCGACCUGGCCCCCCCGGGGGCUGGGGCUGACAGCACUGACUGCUGAAAGAAAUGGGAUCUUCUUCGAUGUAAAAUAAUAGUAAAAGGUAUCUGGAACAUUCUGUUUCCAGGUUUGAUUAUAAGAAAUUAUAGAGAACUUCAGAUUAUAAAAUGUUGUAUCAAUUUUAUUUGCCAGCAUAUGGCUUUUUAAAACCUGCAGCACACAGUAUUGCUGUGGAAGUAGGUUUAAAGUUGAUCAGUGCCAUAGUGCAAUAGUGUCGGUCUGGUGUUUAUCAUUAUAGCCCAAGCUAAUUUGUCUUGCAGUGUUUGUUUUUUUUUUUUUUUUUGCAGUCUUCUGUUUGAAAACAAAAAGGCAAAGUAUUUUUUUUUAAUUUUUUAAAGACCCACCUCCCCUCCAAUAUUCUUGUGAUAUCUUUUACUGGUUAAAACCAGGACAGUAAUACAGGCUUGUACCUGCUUAGUGUCAGCAGGUAUCUUCCAGCUGCAUGUCUUACGCACUGAUCUUCUUAACAGCUGCUCUUGAGCAAGAAAUGCUUUAUUUUGUGCGCUCUAUUUGAUGAAUCAGAUGGAAAGCUAACGGUGGCUGUCUUGCUCUACCUGUGUUCUUAUUUCAGGAGGUGUGAUACGUGUAAGUAGUCUUCUCUACUACUCUCUUUUUACUACCUUGGGUCCAGUGAAACUUCUGAUUCCUCUGGGUUUAUAUUUCUUUAAGUCUUCAGCACAUUCCUGGCUGCAUAAGCCAUCUGUUUGCUGACAUUCUGUACCUAAAGUCAAUGAACUUCUUGUGCAGAGAAUGAAUUAUGAAGUUAAGACAUUUCUGGUGAGAACAUGUUGGGGCACUUUUGAUCUCAAUGCUGAAGAUCAGGCUUAACACGGGGCGCAAACGAACACAUUCUCAGAGGCUCUUGCUUUGAAACUUCUUUUUCCAUUCUACUACUGCUUACUUUCCUCAUAUAUACCCUCCCUUUGCCAACUGGAGAGCAACCAACAAUUAAUUUUGUUGCCUGUGUGACUUAAAGUAGCGUAAGUGCUCUGAUCUGAUACCUGGAGUGUUAAGGGCCGGUGUUUCAGGAGUCUGGUGUAUUCUGCCCCUUGUGAGAGCAUUGAACCAUGUGUUAUGCUGACAUGCAGCAAGCAGAAGAUCACAGUGUGUAUACUAUGGGGGUGUUGUUUGACUUUUAGUUUUGCUAUGCGAGUAUGUCUGGGCUGCUUUUUAUUACUGUCAAACCACCCAAAAGAGCAGAACUGGUGUUGAAAUAAAAAAGAAGCCAGUUUUUGAGAAGUCAGGAUUUUGAGUAAAAAGAUAAAAGCCAUAUAAACUGCCCCCCAGAAAUCAUCCGAAGGCCAAAGCAUAAUGUUACAUGGUUCUUGUCCUUCUUUCUUCCUUACAAAACACCACCACUUCUAACUGGGAAAUCAUAUUCUGAAAUACAAAUGGAAUGAUUGGUAUGAAACCUAGUUGUGAAGUACAAUGUGUAGGUAAUCAGGGUAAGAAACAUGUCCCUCACUGCUUUAGAAACAUGCUGAAAUGCUAGUCAGGCAGGGGCAGAGAUAUCCCAGAGUGUGUUUACUAUUGCCAGUUGUUAAAAUCCUGUCUACUUUUAGAUGUUCCUAGAUUCUGAUAUAUUUAUUAACAAAAGACAGGUACAAGAAUCUCAGCUAGUAUACUGGAUGGACAAAAAGAUAGCCAAAGGAAGAGCUUUCUACAUUCUUAUGCUCCCCACAUUCUAAUGGGAUACUAAUACAAAGUAAUUUUUCUUCUUAAAUGGAAAUAUCUUAUUUGUGGAUAUUACUAUAUGCUCCAAACCUGGUCAUGAUAGACUCUUCUAAGAAUUGUGGUGCAGAAGCUUGGGAAAGGUUUGUAGAUUCCCUUGAAACCUUAGUGAUGUGUUUGUUUGGGGUCAUAUCUAUGGCCUUCCUAAUUUCCCAAGGUGGAUUUAUGUACAAUUAUUUUUGUUGGUGAAACAGUUGAGGUUUUCUUGCCACUGAGCAUAAUCCAUGUUUUAGUCAUAAUGGAAAUGUUUGGAUGGUUUAGAUCUUGAUGUAAACUUUGAGGUAGAUAGAUUAAAUAAAUACAGUUUGAAUAAACAGCAUUGUGGAGGGGGGAGGCUUUUUUAUAUUUCGUUUAUUGUAAGCUGAUGUCUGGUUAUCUUUUUCCCCCUUAAGUUGUGUCCCUAUUUUAGCGUGGGAUGAUCAAUUGUUGCCUUUUCCCCCCUGGUUACACAGUGUAGAGGAAAUACUAGACUAUGGAGUUGAUCCUUAUGAAGCACUGCUAAAACUUUGCUGCAUGUCCACCACCUGCUUCUGAACAAAAUAUUUCUAGCAAGCCAUAUGUAUAUGCUUUUCUAUUGCCAGUGAAUUAUUUUCUGAACAGUGAAUUGAAGGAAUAGCCUCAAUUAAAAUAAGUGUGUGCACUGGAGAUAAAUUCACCAUAGUAUUCAAGUUGAAAGGAUUCAAAGCUAAAUGUGGAGUUACUGAAGUGAAGCAGAGCUCUGUGGUUCUUGCCUUGUUCCUGUGAGAUCUUCCACCGGAGAUCCUCAAAUAGCCAAGUAACAGAGCAGCAAAAGGCUGACAAAGGUUGAAAAUCUGGUCCAAUCUCAUAACAUCUUUUAAUUCUUGUAUCCUGGUAUUCUUUGCUUCAGGUAUUUCAGAAUCUUCAGUGAUCAUGCCCUCCUGACAAAGGGGAAUUUCAGGACAUUAAACAUUGCGUGUGAUGGAACCACUGCAAUUAAAUCCUCUGUGAAUGCCUUAAAACAUGAGAGGAAAUGUGAGAAGGACCAAAUAUGUCUUUAAUUUACCUUUGAACUAACUGAUUUCAGGUGGCUGUCCAUAGGUUCAUUUGUCCAUGUAAAUUAGAGUGCCCUUUUGACCCCAAGGCUACCAAAUUUUGAAGUGAAGAGGCAGACAGACAGAAAAAGCAUAACUUACCAAACACAUGAUGCAAAGGAUUAGCUGUCCCUUCAGAAUUCAGCUUCUGAUGUUCAUAAGACUUAUAUCUUACAGAAACCAAUAGCUCUUGGCUGGUUUCCAGACACUUGGGGGAAACUUUAUGUUAUAAUUAUGCUUUACAGCUUCUUUUAAUUAAAAAAAAAAUAAAAAAAUAACUUCAUAUUGCCAACAAUUUACUUGUGUCUAAGUGCUUUCAUUAAAAUACAGUACCAAUGUGAAAACUUAGUUCUUAAGAAAAUGAGCUUAAUCUUUAGGAGUUUUUAUAAGUGAAUAUAUUUCACAGAGAUGUAUGAUUAUCUAUACAAAUUGUUGGUUUCAAGAUUUGACCACAAUGAAAUUUUCCUUCCCUAUGUAAACUGAAAACAAUGUUAGUCUACUUACGAGUAUGUUUACUUGUUAUUUUUUGCACUGGAUGUAAGCAGAAAGUUGAUGACAUGUCUUUUGUAUGCCGCUGUCUGUGUGUUUUCAAUAUAGGAGGAAAUAGAAUCAGUUCAGCAUGACUGGAUUACUAUAAAUAGUUCUAGAAAAUACCUUCAUUUCCUCUCCACAUUUAUUUUUGUCAUAUGCCUUACCAACUCUUCAAAAAUCUGUAUGAUGUAAUAAAACCUGAUUGUUUUAUUUCUAUUUUAAAAAUCCAAAGGUACGACACAGCGUGGUGGCCAUACUUGAGAAAAACAACAACAAAAUAAGCCCAUCUUAUCCAAAUAUUUUGGGCAUGUUUCGUUCAUCAUUUUUUUAGGGAGGUAAAGAAUUUAACUAUAGCAAGUAAUAGUGAUGAAAGCAAGAAUGCAAUGUAUUCUUGUGCUAAAAACAUUAAAAGCUAUUUUCAGAACUAAGUAGUACAUUUCCGCAUUAAAAGGAAAAAAACUAUAUAUGUCAGUCUUUUUAGUUUUUUUCUUCAAGUGGAAACUAAUUAGAUGAAAAUAAUUUUACACUAUUUCUAACUUAUAACCAUUUAUAGGUGAAAAAGUUGAAAUUUUAAAUAGGAUAGUUAUGCUAAGUGUAUUCUACUGGUGGAUUCUGGGCUAUUUCCAACUGUAGUUUAGGUAGUACUACUGCCAUGCUUAAGGCACUGACUACAGUACCUUGCUACAUUAAAAAACCCAUCAUUUUUAUAUCUGAACUUUUUCACAAGGGGAGUGAAGGCUGAUUUUUCACAUUGAGUUAAGGACAUGUGUGGUGUCCCACAGUCAAUUCAGGUUCAAGGAGGUUGGAAAACUUAUCCCAGUGCUAGUAUGAAGAUGGCUGAUUAUUAGCAUGACCUAGCUAAAUUCAGAAUAUUUUAAAAGGCUGCAAAAAAAUCUUUAAGUCUCAAAAAAUACUAGUCGUCAUCUGUAUUUCUGCUCUAUAUGCAGACUCUUCUUUUUUCUGCUUCUUCCAUAUUGCCCAAGUUAGCUUUCACUAAGAAUUGUGAAGUCUUGAUAUGACUAAGUGAAGUUUUUGUGAAGUUAAACAGGUUUGUAUACUUGGCACAUUGAGAUAAAGCAUUUAAUAUUGCCUAUAGAUAGUACCUUCAAGUUUAUUUUUAGUAAAAUGUACAUACUUAAGAAUUCCCAAGCGCUGAACAGAGCAAUUGUCACCCUGGAAGUUUACAGUGGCAAGUUUUAGCUUGUACUAAUUCAGACUGGGGAGAAGACAUAUCUUUUAGUUUAUCUGUUCAUCACUGUGACUUGUGAGAAUGAAACAGUGCAGAUGGUAGAUCUGGUUUGAUAUUGAAGGAGUUCAUCCAUCUGUCUGCAUUGCUGUAUGUCCUUCUGGUGUGUAAGCAUUGCUAGAUUUUGGUGGCCUAGAAAAUACAGAAUAGAAGCAGGUAGCUAUUUCUGCUGUAAAUUAAAAUAUACCUGUAGUUGAGACUUACUCUGAAGUGUGCCACUCACAUUUUGAAAGUAGAUUUUUGGAAAUCACUGAGUAAGAGCAGAGCAAAUGACAAACAGCUGCGCGUUUCCUGAAAUCUUUGGAUGGCAUUUGAAGGCAAAAUAAUAAUUAAAAAAAAAAAAGCUCAGUAUAAAAAUAAGGGAGCUGCAAUAAUUGAUGAGAUGGAUUGUGUUGAGUAGGUUUAGAAGCUGAGUGUAUGUCUGGCAUAGUGAACUGUUGGCUCUGCUGACCAAAGCUUAACAUGAGUAUCAGCCAAGAAAAGUUGAUCGACUUGUCUUGCGCUGUCACUAUGCGCCUUGGUUGAUGAGUGUUCUGUGGCAUUUGGACAGUGGUAGCAGUAUGGUAUUUUGGUAUCUUUCAAAGAAGGUAAGAGAGGCUGUUAGGAAUUCUGGGUCUGUAUACUCUCAUGUGUUGCUGAUCCCAAUUUCAUAUGACUAUACUAAUUACAGAUACUCUUUCAUACCUUGCUCCAUUCAGUCCUAUCCAAGUACAAACAGAACUCUGUUUCUGUCUUCCAGUGCCACAGCAGGUAAGCGCAGAGACAUCUGUGUAUAUGUAUUAAAGUAAUCGUAUUUUCUAAGUGCUCAGUACAGUGGGUUCCAGAGCAAGAGAGCUACACUUGCCUGUUUGGCACAUGCUGGCCACGCUGGUGUCUCACAAUCCACUCACUCUAGGUGGCCUUGCUGGUUUUGCCUGUUGGUGCAUCUGAGGUGAGGAUUUCCUGAGAAGUGGAAGACAAAUGGAGUUGUGUUGAUUCUAGAGGAGGACUUUCUAGGUGGAGCUGUUCUAGGUGAAGCAAAAUUUCCCCUCUCUGUGUGUAAUCCACCAGGGGGGGAUGAACACCAAAAUUUGGAAGGAGCAAACCAGCAAAGCGUUUGGCUAGGCUGGCCUUUUUGCGUCUGAGAGUACGAUACCUUGUUGCCACCCCUGUGUGUCAGAAUCAGGAUGUGGACUGGUGGGUUGUUUCUUGUACUCUUGAAUAAAGAGGGAGGCCAUAACUCUACGUUUAACUUUUUGCUGCUAUACAUUUGCCCCAGUAAAACUUUGUAGGAAGGAGAAUGGUAGUGAUACAGCUUUGGAUUUUUCUUAAACCUUUCUUCCUGGAUGGCCUGUGGCUUUUGAGAUUGAUUUAACUUCAAGUUAUAACUCCAUUGUGUCUGGGUUUGUCUGUAUGGAUGAGUCCAGACAGAUUCCAGUUCAUUUUGCCUGAAUUUGGCGGGUUGUCUGGAUGUGGGACUCCUCUGCUUUUAAAAACACAACAGCAUUGAAUGGUUUCUGAGCUGCUGACCUGCUGAGAGCAAAGCCUUGAUUACCCUGACGCUAGUGACAUGGCCAUGGAGCUGCAUUGCCCAGGCUGGACCUGCCUGACUUCUGCCGCUGCAGAAGGUUUGGCAAAGGAGCUUGUCUGUCAGCAUAUGGCUAAAUAGGCACAUCCUGGGUCUCAAGGGCAAGUGUGUUACUCAUUCCUGUCUGGAAACCAGGUGGUUUAAAAGAUUGUUGAGAUCAGGUGGUUCUUCAAGAGAUCAAUAGAACUUAAAAAAAAAAACAAAAAAAAAAAAACAAAAAACACUCAAUUUGUGGCUAAUGGCUGCUACAGAAUUUAUACUGUCACUUUCUUUACAGUGUGAGUCCAGUAAAACGUAACACAGGGAGGCUAUAUUUGAACUAAAGGUCAUAUGUUUUACAAUCUUUAAGCAUAUUCAAGAAAAGGAAGUCCUAUUAAAUGCCUUUUUUUGGGCAUCAGUCUCGUUCCAAGCCUGUUAGUUUAAUAAGUUCACUUAAAUCUGUUGUCAACCCAUAUAAUGUUCCCAGGAGUGACUAUUUUUAGUCAAGCAUUUUAAUUGAAAUUGGUAGCUUUCCUUAAAGGUUAGUAUUUAACUCAAACAGUUUUAACAGUUUAUCAUUCUUAAAACGCAUAUGUCAUGAUGAACUUUCUUCCUUACGUGUCCCAUCUUUAGAAACUGAAUGCAGAGUUGUGCUUUUUGAGAUUUGUUUUGUUUUAUAUUGCGUCUUACCAUUGAUGAAGUGAUCAGACAUAAUUUGAUUUUUAGCACAUACCAUUUCUUUUUCUAUGCAUUAGUAAACAGAAGAAAUGGGAAAAAUACUUCUAUGUGGGUUCUACCUCAUUUUAUAUCUCUGUUUUUAAUGGUAGAUCUUGCACAUUAUCCAGGCACACUAUAGUACCUUGCACAGCAGUAUAUCUGUAUAUCUUUUCCUGUUCUUCAUAUUUGCGUAGCUGAAAUCUGCUGGUUUUAUAGUUAUGUUUUCAACAGUUCUGGCCCACUCUUUAGAUAAGUAGAUUGUCCAGAAUAGCAUGGAAAUGCCAGUAAAAUGAAUCGAUGAGUUCCCCUCAAUAAUAUGUUUAGGACUUCCUUAAAAAGUGGAUAUGAAAACUUCUUUACUGAGAGAAGUUGAAAAGACUGAGCUUGUCCUGCUGUGCGAUUCGGAUACCGGGGUACAACUGCGCUCGGUUGCUACAGAUGUGUCUACAGUGUUCAAACUACAAACUGUUUGGGGAUACCUAGGAAUAUUUAGUCGUAGGUGCUGCCAUGCUUUUAAACAUUUAUUUUUAACACUGUUAACUAUUAAAUUUCCAUUUUAUCUUGGUCUGAAAGUGUUUCCUAUUAGUAGCUAACCGAAAGAAAAAAAAAUCAAGUUGGAGGGAGGGCAGUGAUUUUUUCCCCCCUUUUGCUUAACAUAACAUAGCAAAAUUGGCCAGGUUGGGAGGGCUUGAUGAAGAAGUCUUAUGAGAAGUUUUCCAUUAACUGGAAAGUCCUGUAGAUGUCAACUUUAAAGGUAAAAUAGUUAAAAUUGUAUACAACAUGUCGUAAAUAGUUGUCAGGCAUAUUUACAUUUGAUUUUUACCACAGUAUUUCUAGACAGCUGCUGACUUUAGGAGAGCCACUAAAAUUGCAGAUGUGGAACAUUUUGAAAGACUUUUUGGGGGUUGCUUUUUUUUUUUUUAAUUUGUUUGCUAAAGAGAGAUGUUAUUUGACAAAUAGCACAAAUCUGCUCUAGUGAAUGGUUGUACAGUUUGUAAUGGUUCAAUCUAUGUUUGUUAAAGAUGUUGUCUGAUUCUUCACUGUUUGUUUGUUUGUUAUUAAGGACCACAUUUACCAUCCUAGUAGGUAUGGGGGCUUCCAGACUCUUACCACGAGUUGUUUCCGUCUUAGACUUUUAUCUUGAUUACUGAGUUUCAUGAUUUUUUAAAAAUUGUAAAUUUAUAUGGUAAACCACGUUAAUUCUCCACUACAUCCUGUGAUAAGCGUGUUUCGCUAGCAAAGAACUUCAUCCUUGAUCUUUUUCUUUCACUUUUGUGUUCAGCCACUCCUAAAUAACAUACUAAAAAUAAAUCAACUUCAUUGAGAUUGCUUAUUGACAUUUGUAUUCAAUGAGUCAUUGUAGUGUGUUGCUGUAUGAUUAAGAUCUAUUUUGGCUUUUAAUCAUACAUCCAUGUGGUGUACUCUUGAAAACAAGUAAUUGAAUGUAAAAAGGUCUGAUUUCUGUCUUACCAAUUUAUUGAAGUCUAAAUCUCUGUAUAACAUUAAACUUAGUAGCUGUCUGUUGUUUGAAUAUGUAGAGACUUGGCUACGGUGCAUUUUUUUUUCAGUAAAGGCUCAACACUUAUAUCAGCAAUAAUACGGAUAGUUUCAGUGACCCAUUACAGACUAUGUAGUAGACUAAAUGGGAAUUUUCUUUCAAGUGUGCCAAUUAAGGACACUUUUGGUACUUUACGAGAAGAGGACAUCUAGAAUCUAGACUUCAGCUAAUUAUUUUCAAAUGAAGCAAACAAGAGAGAGAGACACCUGUCAUACAACCUGUGUUUUUUUAAGUAAGAUUGUUGUGCAUGCAAUGUUAAACUUUCUGUAAAAAGAUUGUAGGUCUGAUAUACAGAAUUAUAAAGAAAAUCAUCUGCCAAAUAGCAAAAAUGGCAAUUUACUUAAAUGUAUAUAUAGCGUUUACUAUUAUCCAUGACAUAUGCUGUCUUGAAUACUGUUUUGGGAUUAGCUGGCAGACAGUUUUUGGUAGCCCAUGGUUCCAUGGUUGCUUUUUGUGUGCCUGUGUGUGCAUCCCCUGAAAAGUGGCAGCCGCAUACAUUCCAUGUGCCAACAUUCCUGGUGUGGCUGCACUCGAGUUGGAUCAAGGAUCUCAUCGACUCCCAGGGCUGGGCUGAGUCUGGCCCGAAGGUGAUGGUGGAGUCUGGUUGGGCCGGGGUGCGGCUGGAGAGAGGGGGUGACAGCACAGCCCGGCCCAGCCGCAGCCUGCGCUUACUGCCGUUCACAUCGACUGGGAAACCAGCCCUCACGGUAAACCUGCAGAGCAUAUAUGUACUAUACUUGUUGUAUUUUUGUGAGUAAACAUGCAAUGAGGAAAAUCUAGUGCUACUCACAAAGUUAUUAUAGCCAUUGCCUGAAUUUUCAUAGAAAAUCAUAUGAUCAUAAAAUCAUAGCAUCGUUUUGGUUGGAAGAGACCCUCAGGAUCAUCAAGUCCAACCAUACCCUAACUCUAGCACUAAACCAUGUUCUUAAGAACCUUGUCUAACCAACCACCUUUUGAACACCUCCAUGGAUGGUGACUCCACCAUUUCCCUGGGCAGCCUGUUCCAAUGCCUGACAACCCUUUACGUGAAAUUUUUUUUCCUAAUAUCCAAUCUAAGCCUCCCCUGGUGCAACUUGAGGCCAUUUCCUCUCGUCCUAUCACUUGCUACUCAGGAGAAGAGACGAACACCCUCCAUGCUACAGCCUCCUUUCAGGUAGUUAUAGACUAUAAAUGUUGCUGGUUUUCACAAAUGUGGAUCAGAAAAUGUACAUAGGCAAUGCAAGGGAGCCUUGUUUUCAAUUGUAGUUCUUUUUCUGGAAACUGGUCACUUUUAAAACUCAACAUAGGAAAAAGUAAGUAGAAAUAUAUCUUAGAAUUAAAUGAACAAUAUAUUUAACGUAAAUGAAAAAUCAGUUUAAUUUAGUGUAUCAUGACUGUAUUGAUUCCACUAACAUAGUUAUUCAGUAGUUAGCUCUCUUAAUGGUCUGGCUUGCUGCUCCUACUCAAAUUCAUUGGUUUUGUAUUACACAGCUAGAUCAAUCAGGUUAAAGGGGCAAGGAGGUAGAGACCAUGCUACACCUGUAUGCACAUCUCUGAGGGGUAUUUGAGUCCAUUGUAGGCUUGAUCAGAAUUCUCUGUAGGUGCAAAAUUCUGUCUUGGCACAGUUUAAGGCAAAUAUGAGCCUUGAUUUCUUAGUAAGGAAUAAAUUUUAAGCAGCUGCAAGAUUCUUGGUAUGAAACCAGAAUUUUUCCUCCAUUAAAAAAUCAUACUGACUGAAAAGUCCUGAGUCAUUAAUUUAUGGUUCAUUUUGUCAGUUUGUGUAUGUAAUGGUAUUUUCCAUGCAGUAUCUUUCUUUUUCUUCCCUCACUUUAUUGUUGCAAUAGAGUAUCACCAAACUGGGUAAAGAUAAGUACAUUCUUAACCUGCAGAACUCUUUUUUUCUGAAGCUGGUUUACUGUAAAGAUUUCAAGCAGUUACACUUAGCGGUUUAAAACCAGGACGUACUGCUUCAUAGAAAGUCUUAGAAAAUUAGGGAGCUAUGUGUAGGAAAACCCUAGUAAAACUACCUACUUUCUUACACCAUAUGUAGAACAGAUUUCAAGGUAAUCAAAGUUAGUGCAGAUGUAAGAUUAAAAUAUGUACUUGAGAGGGUCCUCUCCAUCUCACCUAUUGAAGAGCUGCCGCUCUGUUGUACUAGUGGAGUUAUUUCAUUAUCAUUUUAGUUUUCUAGUUAUGAAACUUAAUGCAUGGAGUCAGCUUUGUGCAGUUUUUAAUAAUGUAUUUGUACUUUGCAGCUUUGCUUAAAAUCACACAAAUGUCAAUGAAAAUGUAUGUUUUUGGCACUUUUCAUACCUGUGAUGUUAUACCUCUCUUUACAACGAUUAUAGGGAUGUUUUGAAGAAUCUAAAAUCAAUAUUAUAGGAGUUUUUAAAAAGAAAAAGAUUGUCUGAUUUGUCUAGUAAGUUGAUGGCAACAUCCUGUUAAUUGACGGACUGUUUAAAAAUCUGUUUUUACCAAAAAGUUCUGUUAAACACAAAGCAAAAAUAAUUUCUUCUUUAAAACUGAAAAAGCAUAUUUGUUUUUUAUCUAUUUGACAUAUAUAGAAUGUGCACUUUUAAUUGAUUGAUAUAAAGCUUUGGGCUUCAAUCUAGUUCUAUAUAUGAAAUUCCAGUAAUCACAAAGCUCUGAUGACAGAGCAUGGGACUGGGUGCAUGGCAGGUAGAAUUUCCAAUCUAUUUUCAGUGCUCACUACCCUAAAAAAACUAUGCAGGUACUGACACCAUAGUUUCAAUCUUGAUCAGACAUGCUUUAAAAGACUAUAUUAGUUUGUCAAGAAUUAAACCGUACUUUGAGGAAUACAUCUACAUUAGAAAACCAGUUCGACUUUCAAACAGUGCACAAAUAACAAGCGAAGGAAACUACAGAGUUGAAGAAAAAUCACCUCCACUUCACUGCAUAAACAUUGUUCUCAUAGAGCAUUGCUCAAGUAAUAAAUCUUCAUAUUUACCAAACUUUCAUGUAAUAGAAAUAGAUGUCCAGCUGAUAAGAGUUUGUUUUUUAUAGCUUCAUUUAUGGCCCUAUCACUACCCACAGAACUCUGAAUGUAAUAAAUUACUCCAAGAAGUAGAUCAACUAAAUUACAGUUUAAUGCAAUAGUGCUGGGUGUAGUGGAGGAGUGAUGACCCUGUGCCUGAACACUCCUGCUGGCUGGUCAUUAGAGGAAGGGACAUUGAAUUAUUUUCUGAGCAUCUAGUUCUGAAGUCCUUGCUGAAGCAAAACACUUUUUGAGGGGGGAGAGGAAGGGUGGAGGAUUUUAUUGUGUUAGUACAGGGACUAUAGCUUGAAAAGAAACAGUCUGUUAGAGGGAAACACAAGGUAAUAAACUGCCUUCAUUUCUCCUUUGGACAUGGACAUAUUAAAGGCCAAAGCAAGACAUUUUUCACUUUAGGGAUGGAAUUUAAAAAGUUCUACGUAGCGUUCAGAAAACUGCAGCUUCAGUUACUUUUUCUCUUUUUCAUCCCAUCCCUUUAGUCUUUGUAAUGAAAGCUAUAUUUCGUCUCUGAUUUAAGCAAAAUCGUUGCAUAGUAGCAAUUCCUGUUUGAUAAUAAAUGUGUUUUGUCUGGUAGCCAACUUUAUGAUGCAGUGUUAUGGAAAGUGUGUGUGUACCACAGACAGUCCUGGUCCCAAGAAUUUCUCAUCUGAAAGACAGAUAAGAGUUGUGCCAAUCAAGAAAAAUAGGAAAGAUUGUGGAGGGUCUUUUUCUUUUAAAAAAUAAAGUUGGGGUGGUUGUUGCUAAAUGGCAACCUGGUGUAUGUGUUACAGGGAGAAAAAUUUGAGGAAUUGUCUUGAAAACUCUCAUGAAUUUUGUUUUGUAAUUUUCCCCACACGUGGCUGAUGGCACCCGAGAGUUCAUCAGGGAGACCAGCUGGGGUUAUCUUCAUGGGUACACUGGGAAAGAAAAACAGCAGCAGUACAAAUGGUGAAGGUUUAUACAGAGUAAGGAGCUAAUGUGGAAAGGGUAGCAGUGAGCUGUAGUCAGAAGAGACGCUCAGAAUUAUUUUGGCAUUAGCAAUGAUUUGGUAAUUGAGUUUUCUGGAGCAAGUCUUCAUGGUUGUAGCUAAAAUGAUGCUUGUGCCAUGUAUAGGGACAACUUGGAGAGUGGUGGUGACUACAGAUUUUUGUGCAUUAUGUAGAGACUUUUUCAUAAUAGAGUGACUGUAUGAAGUGAUGCAGUGAGUCGCCAGCCAUCACGGAUUUAAAACAAUUUUUCUCAACCUGGCUGUCAUCUCAGCAGAAGAUUUCAGACCUGUCCAUUGCAUGGUGCCUUGGAUUAUCAUGCCCAUCCUGGCACAUACUUGAGCUUCAAGUACCAGCUUUUCAGACUGAAUUGUCACCUUUGAAGGUUAUUUUCUAAGCAGCCAUUAUGUUAAGGCCAUUACUACCUUUUAAAGUACAGGAAACUCAACUAGUUAUGCUAGUUGUUACUAAUUUUUCUCCAAGUCAUAGUCAUAGUAUUUUCUAAGGCAAACAGGCCUAAGAUUUUGCUUUGAAAAGAGAUAAAAAACAUCAGUAUGGUCUCUUCUGCUGGCUGGUCUGUGGGGCUGGUGACCCGCAGCUGUGGGGAUGGGAACUGCUCAAGCUGCCCCACCAGUGACAGACACCCUCACUGCCAUAACACGCCAGACUGGAUGUGAGGUUUUGGCCAGAUGGUGUCAGUUAUGGAACCGAGAACUGAACUCAGGAAAUGCAGAAGUUAAGGCUUGAUUGCACUGUGUUAACUGUUUAUCCAUACACAUCAUAUUAACGGCUCUGAUUAAUGACAACAGGAUAUUUUAAAAUAUAAAUGUUUCAGAUGCAACUGUACUGUGCUUUCUGUGCUUAAAAAUGAUCUUUGCCUUACAUUAUGGAUGCUUUGCUUUAAUGUCUUUGAACUUAAAAUUGCAGAAAUUUAAUUGAAUUUGCCUCGUGUUUCAAAAGCGGAUUAGCCUUUGAAUUUUUAGUUCAGAUUUUCUCUCCUUAAACCACAGUAUAUGAGAACAUACUUACAUGUUUUAUUGAAAGCUUCUGUAUUUCUUCUCUGCUUCUCAAAGGGUAUGUUGAACAGUUGUAACUAUGAGUUAACCUAUCUCUCAGUACCUGGUAUAGAGUUCAUCUUUCAGAAUUAUUUUUUUAUUCCUUUAGGUUUUCUUUUACAUACUUUUAAAUGUUUGUUUGGUAAAAUGCCUUUAGUCAGGACAACUUUUAUAGGCAUAUAAAUAGGCAUAACUUUUUAUAAAUGUAAUUUUUCCUAUUAACCAUGAGUAUCAUUAGAUAAACCAGACUGGCUUUUUGGAGACUGCAGCCCUUCUUCAGGUGUGAAAAUGAAAGCUGCUGCUGCCGCUCUCCAGUCAGAUCACAUCCGAGACAGUUGCUCAAAAUGUAGGCAAAAUAAACCAUCCUGCGAAGAAAAGAGUCGGUGCUUUUGAAAAGAGAGAAAAAGCUAAUCAGGGUGGGAGGAAAAGUGACAGGGACACAGAUUUUUGUGGGCGGGAGAAGUUGGUGGGGGAUGGGGAUUUAGAAUUACUGUAAAACAAAGACCUUUCUUGAGGCCACUAUUUUUAAAGUCCGUCAGAGAAAAUAACAGAUACUACUUAGAAAUUACUUGCAAACCUGUAGUGAACUCUAGACAGUCAUUUUGCGUUCAUAUUCUCUUUUCAAAGCUUAAUUGCUUCUAGUUUCAGGCUUAAAGGACUUAAGUGAAAUAAAGCUUAAUAUUUGUGUCUGCUCUAGCUGAUCUAAGAUCUGUUACUUUUGCUUAUAGGCUUUGUCCUGCCUGAGUUCUUAGACCUUUACAGCUACACCAAACCACCACUACAGUUAUUUUUAAAAGUCACUUGUUACUUGUCCAUAGUCUGACAGACAGACAUUUGUUUUAUUCUGGUAGCUGUCGAAGAGCACGUGUGUGAAUGUUAAGAGGUCAUCCUUUCACCCUUCACUUCUUCUUGACCAUCAUUUUACAUUUAACACAAUCUACAACUUGAGUUCUCCAGCAGCACCAGAAUAAUGGAAGUGAUCUAAGUUGGAUAAACAGAGAAGUAAAGCAGCAUUGUGUGAGAUGCAGAAAGCAAGCAGUUAUAAAGUAAUCAAGACCUCAAGCUCUUGCAAUAAAGUCAAAUCUUAUGAUAAAAUAUUUAUCACUUAAAUACCUUGAACUGCCCCCAGAAAGCUUCGAUGACCAUGUAAACUCACUAUGCUCCAAUUUAGAUACCUUCACUGCAUUCCUGGUAAGGAACCAUGCGGAUACCUGUGACAAACUUACUUUCAGUAUAUAGGCAGUAGAAUCUUUCUCCUUCUAUAGGAAGUUUUAUCCUGGAUUGCUAAAGUUAAUUACUUUUCAUAGGACCAGGAUUAAACCCCAUGAGAGGAUACAAGAGUAUUUUAAGGGUAACACAAUUAAGGGAAGAAAUAACAUUAUCUGGAAAUGUUCUAUUAUCUGGAAUUUCUGGCUUAGUUCUCCACAGCUUUGCCAAACAUCACAUGUCAGGGCUGUUGGGAAAGGUACAACUUUCCAUGUAGCUCCCCAGAGCAUGGGGGAAUCUGCUUAGCAAUUCUUUUGAACUGGGGUUAUACUGAGAAAGGCUGAUGCCAAGUAGAUAUUUAGUAGAUUUUUUAAUAGAUGUGCUAAGCUGGCUAGUGAUACCAUGGGUUUUGAUGGUGCUGCUUUUUACUCUUGUUUACUUGAGUUUUGAAAAUCCUGUUACAAAGCACAUAUUACUUGGUAUUACUCCUCUGGUUAUUUGAAAAAAAAAACAAAAACAAAAAAACAAACGAAAACCCAACAAACCAAACAAAUCCUUCCCUCUUCUCUUUUCCUUCCCAAGAAAAGAAAGGGAGAAAGAAAAUAUUGAGCCUUAUGGAAAACAGAGAGAUGAAGGCUAGUAGAAAUCAAUUCCAGAAACAGUGGAUAAGGAGAGAGAGGGGGGAGACCAACUUGACUCUGCAUCGCCUCUUUUACCCACAGAGGAAUGUCACCAAGAAGAAUAUGUACUUGCUGGAAAUUAAGUAAAGUGAUCCUUCUCAGAGCAUGGGGUUAAAAAAAAAAAAUAUAUAUAUAUAUAUGUCUGAGUUGCUGGGGUUUUUUGAUGGUUUUUUUUUAUCUGCUUCUGGGCCAAUGCAGCAACACAGUGUUCAUUAGUCACGGCAAUCUGGUGCAACAGCCAGACAUGGAGUGCAAUAGGCUUGAUCUAGCUAGUGGUGCUGCAGGCAGAUAUGCAUGUACAAACCCUGUCCAACAGUUAAUGUUUAACAUCACUGGUUUGCCUUUGGUUUGCAUGUUUACAACUGUUUUUUUCUUCUGCAAUGUUGUAAGGCAUUUGCCCACUGUAGAAGUACUUUAAGUGUGAUAACAUCUUGGAAAUUGCAAAUGCUCCAAAACACGUGAUGAUAAGAGGUUGAAAAUGUACUGAUAUCAUGAGGAAUUAUUGAGUCAGAUGCAAAUGAAAUUUAGGGUAUGCACAACAUGACAUUUCAUACUAACUCCUAGGCUGCAAUUGUAAAAAGUAAUUUGGAUUCUAUUGGACAUGCAUGUAGUGAUUUUUUUUUAAUUCCCCUACUUCAUUUUAAGCAGAGCUCUAAUAGUUCAUUCUCUGUGGGGAUACUACUCUGCCAUUGCAACUUUAGAAUGCCAAGAGCUUCUGCUGCAAAAAAAUUCAAAGAAACAUUCUACUGAGGGAUAAUUUCAAAGCAAGAGGAAGAAUUUGAAAACAGCCCCUCAUAUAUGCCACUGGACAUGUCCAUCACAAAAAAAUUAAUAUAAAAUGGCUGAAUUCCAGUGCUAAAGACAUGGUGCUUUUCGAUUGGUAUAUUUUUGUAUGAAAACUUUGUGCAGUGAAGAGUGUUGCCUUAUGUGUGAUAAGUGAUAACAUUUUAGAGCUCAGUGAAUUGCUAAUUUUUAGUUAAUCUGCAAUAAAUGUCCAUCAGCGUUCCCAUACACACCCUUUUUGAGGCACAGCCUAGUACCAGCUUCAAGUGCCAUUCUUAGGCUAUCCUUCUGUUUCAAAAAAGAGGAGGGAUAAUUUAUAAAUAAUGGAAGAAUAAUCUCGUGGGGCUUUGCCCAAGAGCCUUCUGCUUAAGGUGCAGAGAGGAUAGAUGAGUUCAUGGAACAGUCCCUGUCACUGAGAGGGGCUGGCCUGUCUCCCUGCACCUGAGUCAGCAUCGUCACUUGGCUGAUUUCUUGGUGAUUUGAUUCAUUUCACUAAGCUGGUGAAAAACAAGUCUGACCUCCCCCCCCCGGCCAUGAUUUGGGGUUUUGUCCCUGCUUAAUAAAGUGAACUGUCUCGCCAAAGUGUCAGAUGAACAGCAGAGACAGUUUGAAGGACCAGCUUAUUUAGUGAGGUCUUACCUUGGCUUAGCUGUCUUAAAACUGCAGGCUAGGACUGACUGCAUGGUACAUAAUUUAUAAGAAGCAGAAUCAUGUUACUUCUGGUAAAUACUCUGUAAAAUCAGCUCGAGACGCUGCUCAGAGGUCAUGUGUUUUGAGUUGCUGUAAAAAUGUAAAGAUGUUCUGCGGCUGUUGAACAAAUAUUUGAGCGAAGAUGGAGAGUAGUAAUGAGAAAGAUAAGAUGCAUAGAAAAGCUUCAUUAAGAGCAAAAUAAGACAAAAGGUAUUGAAUCAAGGGGUUGCUUUUUUUGUCCUACCGACAAUAGCUUUCAGAGACAAGCGUUAGUGUAAAGAGAAGCUGAUUUUAGCAGUGUCUGAUAGUCCACAGGAACAUGGUCUUCCCAAAUCCCGCAAUGUGCGGGUGGUAAAAUCAGCCUCUGAAACAGUGCAAAUUUAGUGAGAAGUAUGAAUGAAAGUGUGCAGAAGCCACUUGGCCACCAAUCUAGAGGAAGGAGAUCACUGUGCAACUGGGUGAUGGGUGUCUUUGUGACAUUUGAAAGUGGAAACCUGUCCAGGACAGUGACUCACAUAGCAGAGACUGAGCUCUUCACACGUAUGCUGUAUUAUUACAAAGGCAAUAUGCUUUUACUUUCCUCUGCUGCCCUAUAUAUCAGUGAGUUCAGUCUCUCAGUCUUAUCUUCCAGCUCUUUGCUUUCCACUCUCAGGGCCUAUUUGUAGACCUGCCUUUUCAGAACAACCUUCCACCAGUAAAUAUGGUGUGGAAAAACAAACAAACAAACCGACCCAAACUCUAUCAUCUUAACAUUUUCAUGAAAAAAAUACAAGCCAUACAGCCUGACUUUCUACAUAGCCCUUGCUCUAUGUUGCUCCCCCACGUCCUGAAUGUUGCAAUCCCUGGUAGAGAUCAAUAAUAAGAGAAGGAGAGGAUAAACAUUAUUCAGUAUGGAAAAUUUUCCAUUGCGAUAAGAAGAAACCGGUGUUGCUUUGCCAUAUAUAUCCAUUUAUUGAUAAUAUUAGUGUGGUAGUACUGAAACUGGUCCAUCAGCUCUUGAAAUUAUCUCUUUCUUUCAGUUGCUUGCAAAGGAAAGGACUUUUAUAAAAGAUUUUUGUAAUGGAAAAUGUGUUGUAGCUUUUGAAUCUGGUGGUAUUUUACUGUUUGAAUUAUCAGUAUCAGCACUGCCACUUCCAAAUUAAUGGCAGUGCAGAUGAUUGAGAACAAAGGGUUCAUGUGAUUUAAAUGGUUUUAAUCCUGGAUUAUUUCAGUCAGGACUCAACCUUAAAAAUAUAGUAAUACUGAGUGGGAGGGAAAUGCUUGGGAUUUUACUGCUUUUCAUAGUAAAUGACAAUGUAUCUAGCUUGUUUAAAACGUUUAGCAAGAUUUACCUCCUAACAAAGGUUAUGAUGGUAUCCAGUUGAUUCCAUUACUGCCAGGGUGUUUUAUCAAAGUGGGAACUGAAUCCAAACACUCCCUCUUGCCCCUUGAAAUACUCUGAGGUCUGCUUAUUUCUGAUGGUGAUCUUAUUUAUGAUCUAUACUUUGCAGGCUGUGCAUUGCACUUUGUCACAAAAUCUCUGUCAAUCCUAAAUAGUUGGGAUUUCAGAAAAGGUAUUUUAUAGUUUUGUGAUACCCAGUACAAACUUUCAGACCAGCUAAAUGACGAACACAAUGACUGCUGUAUAUGCAUAGCGCAUUGUGGUAUUCGUGAAAGUAUAUUGAUUGUGGUUAGCUUUGUUUUACAUGUCUAAAUGUCUAAGUUUAGCUGCCUUUGAAGCAGUUCUGUAUGAAAAGUAUAUAUUUGAAAAUGUUGCUUCAAAAAGGUUUUGAGAUUUUACCCUGAUUUUGACCUUAGUUUGCACGUUCCUCAGUAGCUUUCUUCUGAGCUCUUAAGGAAUAUAUCACCUGAUCUAUCUUACUAACAUUGCUGUAGUAGUGGAUCUUCCAUCUGAGUGAAUUGGAAAGUGUUAUCAAAAGUAAAAACUACAAAAGGAGUUUCAUAAUAGUCUGUUAUGAUUAAAAUAACUUUAUUUAAUGUGCAUCCUAAAGCUGAUUCUGCAUUCCUUGUAAUUCAAAACCCCCAGACUAGAUAAUGUUCCUGAUGAAACUUUAAUUAGAUUAUUAAAGAUUUUAAGUUUCUCAUUCUGCCCAUCUAGAAAUAUUCAGUUGCCCUAAGAAAACAGUGACAUGGGAGUGUGCACAUGUGCACAUCAAAUGGAUUUUUCAUUGAAAACUUGCAGCAGUUUUCCCUCUGCACCCUCUCCCGUGAUGAAUUCAAGUGAGAUAUUUUCCUGCUGGUACAAGACCUUGGCCCAUCUAUGACUGAAAAUGAGGAUUCAAAACAGGGAAACAGCCACUUCCCUGGGCAGCCUUUUCCAGUGCCUGACAACCCUUUCCGUGAAGAAAUUUUUCCUAAUAUCCAGUCUCAGUCUUCCCUGGCACAACUUGAGGCCCUUUCCUCGUGUCCUGUCACUUGCUACUUGGGAGGAGAGACCAACACCCUCCAUGCUACAACCGCCUUUCAGGUGGUUGUAGAGGGCAUCUUCAUACAAGAACUGGAGGACCUGGAGGAAACAGGGAACCUAGAGCUUGUGUCAAGUAGGCAUUAUGAGGAGAUCUAAUACAAUGAGAAGUGGCUAUUUGAAGAAACUAAAAAAAAAGUUAACAUAGGCUCAAUAUAUAUGUCCUCUUAUUCCAUCCUUCUUCCUGUCCUGCUCCUUGUAUCUCAGUUAUCCUGAAAACACACACAAGAAUAGUUAUUGAGAGUGAGAAUCACACUGCUGUUUGUGAGAGAGCUGCAAUUAAUGUAGUCCUGACUCCCAAGGGUUUUUCUCAUGACUUAGUGCAAAGUCUGGCUGAAGUUUUUUCUACAGUUGGAAGUUUAAUUUCUGUCUUCACAGCUGCCUUGCUCAUGAAAUCUGUGAAGACCUAAUCAUUUUUGAGACUUAUAUUCUUGUGUCAUUUGGUUUAAAAGAGUUUCUUGUUCCUGUUAGAAGACCAGACUGAAAGAAGGGUUGUCACGUGCGUCAUAUUGAACAUGGCUUGGUUUGCUUUUCUUGUUCUUAAUCUGGCAUGAAAAUUGCUGGAAACUGUACUUUGGCGAAAAUUUUAAACACUAUCUCUUGACUGGAUUUUAGUGCAUAUAAUUCUAAGAGUACCUGAAUUUCAGAAACGUGUAUUGUUGGAAGGGCUUGGGAACACCAGCACGUCAGGUCCAUUGACCUGGAUUCGGUGGGUGGCAUAAGGAAUUAAAGCCUUUUUUUGCUACUUUGCCUGGCCCCCAGACAGCCUGCAUCAUCCCUCUCUUCUCAAGUAACAGAACUGAAAAUCAGAAGUAGAGCAGGAUUCAUUUCUUUGGAUAAAUGCUUAUACUAGACUAAAAAUCAACUGCAGAUUCAAACUGUUAGCCUUUGCUCCUAGAAGUAUGAAUUUUCAAUACUUACACUAUUUUAUACGCAAUCUUAGCAAAGUGAACAUGCUGUUUGGCAGUUUAAGGAGUAACUUCUGAAACAAAACUAGUACUUUUACUUAAAGAAGUUCAGAAGUUGUGCUGAAUUUAACUGUCUCAAACAAUUUAAAAACAAAACAAAAAACCUGAAAGUGGCACCGUAACUUUGUGACAGGAGCUGUGGUAAGACCAUUAUAAAUACUUGUUUAUCUUAGAGUCAGAACUUAUCUAGAGAAGAAGGCAAAAAACCAAAACCCCAAACAAAUCUGUUCUGUACUAUGGAAUAUAAGGUCUUCAGAAUGAAAGGAGUCUUCCCGCUGAAUUCGGCAAUUAUUUUUCCCAGAUAAGCAAACACUUUGUCACAGUGUCUUUUUUGUUGUUGUUGUUGUUUAUAGAAGAGACUAAAAAAAGCCUUUUAAAACAAUUUACAAAUCUGUUAACCUUUUCAUAUGGAGUAUAUUGACUUGUGAAGCCAAAUACAUCAAUUGGUUUAUUAUUAAAAUACUGAAAUAUUUUUUAAAAAUACUCAAAAGAUAUAACGUGUUGUUAAUUUGUUAUCCUGAGUUAUUACUCUCAGGCUACAUUAAAAAAGCAAUAAUUACAUAAAAUUUGCUUGUGAUCAUUCUAAAACACUGCAGUGAUAUAUGUAGCCUAAAACCAGUCCUCUUGAAUUGGCAACACAAAAUCAAACCUUUUCCAACUCCUAAAGGCAGAAUGAAAACUAAGGUAGACUAAGUUUUUGAUUUUUCUUCUUUUUAUAUGCUAAAAAUUGUAAUAUUCUUAAGCAUGGGAUAAUGUCUGGUCUCUACUUAACCCGGUGUUUCUAAUCUAGCUCAGGUACAAUAGGGAUAAAGGAAGAAUAAAUGAAAUGUUGAUAGGGAAGCUACAGGCAAUAUUUUAAAAUUCCUAAGUGUAGCUCAGCUUCUUUUCUUUUUUCUUACUGGGAAAUAAGUGAAUUUCAACACCUUUUAGGAGGUGGUUCUCAUUUUUGCAUCAAUCAACAUUAACUUAAGGAAAACUCCUGAUUAUUUUCAUUUGAAUAAAAUGAGUGGUGUUUUCAGCUACCUCCAAUUUAUUUCUGGCUAAGACAUCAAAUCAAUUUAAUGUAGCCAAAUAACUAAAACCCAAAAAUCUGACUAACCACUCGCUAUUUUUGAAGUGUUUCCUGGACCCAAGCAAGCCUGACCACUGAGAAAGCGUUAUUAGGAUGUUGUAGGAAACCCACUCAAUAGUUUUGGUUUUGUUUCAGCAUUUUUGUGGGUAUAUUUUGUGUGUCUUUAUGUUUUUUAUUAGUAGGAACACCUACAUUUUGUUGUGCUUAUCGAAAAAAAAGUGAGGCAACACAUCCAGAAGUUUUGCACUGCAAGUUGAACUAAUCAUGACUUUCAUCCAAAUUACAUAUUAUGACUUAAUUUGUUUUACUUUGACUGUAAUAAGAUUGUUUUGUUUCAUAUGUAUAUGAGAUAGACAUGAGACAGAGAAAUGUGUGGUCUUGGAGAGCAGGUGAUCAGGAGUUGAUUGAUAUUUUGUCUUGAUGAAGGAAAUUACGAUUUUUUAAUAAUUAUGUUUAUGUAUAUCAAUAAUAAGUAUAAAUAAUCACUAAUAAGUUGUCCUGUCACUGAAUAUGUUAUUUAACAUCUUCUGUAGCAGUCAGCUGAUUAGCAGUAUCUUGGUUUGUCGGGUUUUUUUGUUUUUUAAAGUUAAGCAUUGCAGUUCCUAUUUAAUACAUCUGCAGACUUGCUGUAGAUGGUCAUUAAAAGUAGCUACAGGAACCCGUGUGGUGUGUGUGCAUGCUUGGGGGACGGGUUGCUUUUGGUUCGUAUUUGUAAGGAACACUGACAUAGAAAUCAAAAGCUCAGGGCAAAAAGAAAACACUUGUUUCCAGAAUAGUAUAGUGAAGACUUUUUUUUUUUCCUUUUUUUUUUUUUUUUUUUUAGAGUCUUUGAAAAUUUGGAAGUAGUGUGGUUUGUUUUUAUUGUGAAAACUCUCAGGAAGAACAAUUCAGAGUCAGUGCCAUUCUUCCCAGCUGAAUGGCGCUUGGUUUGUGAAAUGGAGCAGCUGCGGUAGUUUCAGCUUGGCUCACAAAACCGUUUGCUUUUUAAUCAAGAACUUCAGAUUCUGUGGUGGUUGUUCCUGAAGGAGAUGGCCAGCCAUGCCCUGUGAGACAGCUGUAGUAUAAUUGAGACAGACUAUGUGAAGCAAAUAUAAAUGCUGGAUUUCUUAACAGCAGACUAUUCACUGAACUGUAACUGAUAUUUUUAAAGGAUGAGAAGCGUUUAUACAGGCAAGAAUUUAGUACAUGAUUAAGCAUUUUAUCUAUAGGUAUGUUCUUACAUAUAUUGCAUAAAAUAGGGUUUAAGUCCUCAGCAUUAGCAUUCAAGUUUAGACAAUGCAGUAAUCCAGGUUUUGAUGAAGUGUGUGCAUAUAACUGCAUAAUGAGAAAUGCCCCACUUUUCCCAAAAACAUUGUUACAAAUAUAGUUGAGGUCUCUUUCUUAAAUCGUCUGGGAGGCGUUACACACCACACAUUCACACAUACACUUAUUUUAAGAAAUAAAGGCACUUGUAUUUUCUCAAAUGGAAUAGAAGUCUACUGGAGGCACCGAAAGGAAUUGUUGAUCUUUGGUGGCAGUUAUGGCAGUUACACAUUUAGAAAAACUUUUCAAAGCAGGGAAGUAUUGUGGAAAUAAGUGUUCCAUCUCAUAUAAUGUAAAACCUCAGACUGACAGUUUGUUGUAGAAGGGAUUUUUCUAAAUAGCAGUGUUUGACUAAACCAAAAAUAACUUGUUUUGCAUCACAAAUCAGAAAGUGCUGCCCAUAUGUUUAAAAAAAAAAAAAGGUUGAGUUUUAACAUUUUGCAGUAAUUUUAUAGUCACAGUUAAUAACUAUUUUGAACUUGGGGUGGCUAGUUGUAUGUUUUAUGCUGAACUAUACAUCUUAGUAUGUGUGACAAGUUUGUGAUGGAUUCAUUAUACAGAUCAGAAUGUUUCAGUGUCUGCAGGCAGGCAGUUUUCUUACUGCCUUUUCCAUAAAGUUGAGAUUAGCAUUAAAAAAAAAUACUAUUCCCAAUUCGUAUGAAGAUAGCGGUCCUUGUGGCAGAAUAUGAUGUUGCUCCUAGAUGUUCUCCUUUGUUUUCAAACAGUUUGUCCCAUUUUAUGUUUCCAAUGUGUGCAGUCUCAAACCUCUUUGAUGCUGACUAAUUGGGAGGGGUGGGAAGACAAUGUAAAAGGGUUAAUCCGUUACACUGGUAUUAAUGAGUCAGCUGGAUCCCUGCCAUUCUCUCGUUUCUGGUUCACUUAGCACCGAUUAGCACAAAUGACAUCUAGUUCUGUGGGAAGCAAGCUAGGAGGAUGGUAGGUAAUGCAGACCUCAGAUGAGAACAGCCUGGUCUCAGGUUAAUACAGGUAAAUAAAUCCAUGCCAUGUGGUUUGAGAUAAGAAAAUAAUCCUGUUUUCCUGCUGGACCCCUGGGAACACUGAGAGUGUUGGUAGGGCUGGGAUAUUUUAAACUCACACGUGGUAGAUCAAAAGGUGGUCAGGUUGUUUUUCUGAACUCCAUUCUCUGAUGUGCUGCUGGGGAUUUCAGCUUUGGAAUUUACUCACCUGACACCCAUGCAUUAGAAAUAAGAUGGUAAAAGAAAGUCAUUACUGCAUGUGUGCAACUGAGAGCCCCUUUCUUAAAUCUGAGACCUCUUGUGACAAAGUUUUGGAUAGGCUGGAUUGAGUAUUAAUGCACCAGUCAUGUUUCUGUGGUGUGUCCUGAGCUUGUCGUUCGGGAAUCUGGGACAGUAAUAGAGAGACAUUUAUUCUAAGAUGUAUUUUAUUUUCAUUUCUUUUGAUUGCAACUAUAACUGUAAACUGAUUAAAGAAGCAGAUGAGGAAAAGGAAAUCAUGCUUCAGAAGACACUUGUAGUCAGGUUAUUUUUUUAAUAAUUUAGAAACCAGUUCAAGCAAGGCCAAUUUAGAAUCCCUCUCCUAGAGCUUCAUUCAACAUAUACACUGAAGUCCAGGUGACGCUUUGUCUCCUGUUCUCUGGUGCUUCUGGCUUGGAUCUUCCCAUAGUUAAAGCAGAGUCCCCUGUUCCAUCUCAUUCCUUCUUUUCACCUGCACUGAUGCCUAAAACAAGACACGUGCAGUGCGGCUGUAAUAUGGGAUGGACCUCAGGCAACUAGAGGGGGCUGGGGUGUCUCAUGUGCCAGAGCAUUUUCUUCCUCCCCAAAUCUCUUUGGUUCCUGGGAUGCUCCUAGAGGCAUACUCACAUCCCAUAGCUGAAAUUCUUCUUGCUGUAGCAGAAGUUUUCUCCUGAUCACAACCUUUCAGAACAGCUGCCUAGGUUUGGUCUACCCUUCAGGUUGAAGAACAGUACAAAAAUCAUGGAUUAGGUCACCUUACAGGAGUGUUUGACUUCAGAUGUCUCCAUUUGGGAGCAAUUCUUCCAUUUUAGUCACUGGAUGGAAAGAUACUUCCGUGCAUACGCAGCAGAUGUUUAACGGAGAUGCCUCCUGGUCAUCUUUUGGGGAAGCCUGUUAGAAAUGGCUGCAUGAGGAGCCCAAUCUCCUGACUUAGGGGUCCAUGUUGCAGCUGUUCCCCUUUCCCCAAUAAAUUAGCCCCAAAGCAUUCUGUGCAUUUGUACAGCAUGCCUACGUUUUAACAAAUUUACAACAGGAACAGCCUUCUAACCUUCAAGUUACACAGAAAGUUUGAGACUGGCUGGUUUUGAGGCCUUCAUUCCUGAUUAAUCGCUUUGGGGCAGGACAGUAAAGUGACAGAAUGUUUUCUAACUAUAAAAGCUGUAAAGUUAAGUGGUGUGGGAUAUCUCAAAGGCAAAAUCCUGCAUGCUGUCUUAUCACAUGUCCGAUCAUAUUUAUCCGAGAGUUGUUUGGCAAGUAGCGGUUUUGCAGGAGAGGAUAAUCUGAUUUUUGUCAGCUUACUGCCACCCAAAAGCAAAGGUGAUGCUUUCCUCCAGUUCGAUGAAACUUGUUUUGACCCAGCUCUGGUGUUUGCUGGACUUCUUUGUGAACUGGCUCACUUCCCAGAAAAAGAGGUGGGCCGGUUUCUGCUGGGUUAAUAAGCAGAAAGUCUUAUGAUCAUCAGAGUCACUGCAGUGGCAGGGCUGGAAUUCCCCUCCUAGUGGUGGUGAGUGUUCAGAUCAGUUCGUGUGGUCUCACACCAUGUCACCUUUUUCCAGGCAUCGAUUAAAGAUGAUCGACCAUACUGGAUGCAGAAAUAGUUGCUCUGUUGAGAAAAUCACCUUGUCUUAGACUAGCUCUGUGUGUAGCUGGGCUGAUCUUUUGCCCCCACCCCUCCUGAGGGACAGCCAGUUACCUCAUCCUGCCGCAGACCCUACACUCUUGUGAUAUAAUUUUCUGCAAUUUGUGAACUUUCGUCUGUGUUAGUGAUGUGCUUUUGCAGUGAGGUGAGUUGACUCAAAGGGGUUGAGUGAUGGAGCCAGGUAAGUUCAGAGGGAAGACAGAAAUGUGAGGUGUGAAUGGGAACGUGUCCUCUGGCAUUGGUGAGCUGCUGAAUUGCCUCUUAGUAUCUCAUCACUCUGCACUAUUCAGAUACCUGAUCGGAAGCUGGGUCUACUUACUGAGGUGAGAUCAGAUUCAGGCAGCUGAAACAGUUCUUCUGGACCAGGGAGCUGAACGGAGCCCCUGAGGAGCCAGGCAGCCUCAGAACGGACGAGGGGAAUGGCAGGGGCAAACAGCUCGGAGCAGAGAGGAAAGAAGGGUCCCCUCAUUUUGGCAGCAGUGAAUUGGUCUGAUGGAACCACAAAUGGUCCCUUCCUGCUGUGGUGCCUGGGUGUGUAGACCUCUAGGCACCAAGCCUACAGUCCUUACAUCUUCUCAAAGGAAGUAUGAAAGUUCUUUUCUAGACAGAGGCUGUGUUCUUUGAGGAAGAAAGGGUGUCAUUUCAUAUUUGUGGCCCUGCAUAUUUUUUCUUUCUAGUUUCUCUGCACAUCAGGCUGCGUAAUGACUGUGGGCAGGUCAUGGUGUGAGGAUUUCAGGUUCUGAAUAUAGGACUCAUUCCCCAAGUAGAGCACACGUAAAGCAGUAAUUGCAUCAUGGAAACUGAAUUCUCUCUUGUUUUGUGAAAACCAUUAAUCUGCUGUAGAGGCCACCUAUCAGAUACAAGAGUUCAGGUCUUUGUGACCUAGAAUUUAAUCUGCCAGUUUUCAACCAGUUGAAUAGGUAUCUGGUAACACAGCCCUUUGUGUGUGGGAUGGAUUGGUUUGUUGGCUUGUUUUAUAGGGACACAGGAUAUUGACGUUGCUGGUCUGUCCUUUUCUGUGAGUGCCGAGCUCAAAACAGAGUUGUUAAGGAGUAUGGCUAGAAAUGAGAAAGAAUAUGAUUGUUUCAGGUCUCAUUUUUGCAAAAUUUGUCAUCUUCAUGGUUCAUGUAAGUGCAUCUUAAACAGAAUUUAUAAAAAUUGCAUUACCUUACCUACUUUUUUACUAGUAUACCCACAUGAAGUUAAAUACUUGGAUGGAUUAUUUUUACUGACUAAGUAAAAUUUCAGAUUUUUCAUAAAAUUACUUUGCCAAUAGUAAUUCUUAAAGCCAGUUUACAGAAGUCCUGAAAGAGCUGUCAUCCAGACUAAUGCUGUUUGCUUCCAGAGGCAGCUCCUUGAACACAGCAAUUCAGCUUUGUGUAGUGGGUGUUCACUUGUUUGAUUCGCUGGGGCUCACAAAAAUGAAUACAAGUUUCUCAUGAGGAGAAAGCCAAAGACAGAAAACAAGUUGCACUAUUAACCGCUUAGGAAGAAAAGGAAGAAAACUAAAAAUACGUAUUAAUCUCUAUUUUCCUAUAGCCUACUGAGAAUCACAAAAAGGUGCAUUUCCUAAUAUAAUAAAUUGUCUGGGAUUUUUGGUAUGUUUAAGAAUUUAAUCAUGCUUUUGAUAUGUGAGCGCUAGCACACCUUUGAAACUUUCCGUGUUGACGUUUAUAAUGUCUAGAGUGGAGGCUACCUUUAGAUCUGAAGUACUGCCUUCUAUUUUGUCACGAUGGAAAGCGAGACUGGCGGUAUGGUGGGGUAUGUUUCCACAGGACAGCUGAGCCACUUAACUGGCUAAUGAAGGACUCAUCCUGCUUCUUGCUCCUGGAAGCAGAAUUACUUUCCAUCACCCUUGUGCCAGCUCUGAGGCUCACUUGACGUCUUUGAUUUAGCUGACUAAAUUGGCAGCAAACUAAGCCAGCAAGAAAGGGAGUGUGUGUUUAUCUUUUUUAACCAAUUCAGUGAGCUCAGGUGGCUCACAAGAUCUCAGGAGACUCUGGGAGCCACCGCAAAGGAACCAACAGGAGCGCCAGGGCUGGGAGGAGAGGCAGGGCUGCUCCUUUUGGCAGCACCGAGCUGUUAGCCUGACUCAGCCGUGUUGUGAAAACUCACCCUUAGGUAAUACUGUUCGCACUACAGGUUGACGGACAGUUCUUCAAAUAGUAGCCAGAAGGGAGUUACCAGAUGUGCGCGGUUUGUUUUUGUAGGUGGCCUUGGCUGUUUUUGGUGUGUUGUGUUUUGAAACAGCUACUUACUCUAUUCUAAUCGUGUUAUUGCAUGAAAACGUUCUGCAGAAAAAUUACAUGUGCAGGGCGGACCUGUCUGGGAACUUGCCAUUGAGAGUGAGUAAGGAGCCACAGAACCUGGAAAAUUUUGUCCUUCGGCCUCUGGGACAAUGCGCCCGUUGGAUUUGGGGGAAUUCAGAAACCUUUUUACUUCUGGUAUGCUGAAUGUUGCAAGCUCAAAAGCCUCAGACAGUGAGUGGUCCUUCAUCUUUGAACAUCUGGAAGUUUUUCUUCUAAGACCUGGUAGCCCCUGUUAACGUAGUGUCCUGGUUUUGUUAAAAACAAGUUUCUCUUUUAGUUAAUGCUUCAUAUAAAAGUGUGAAAUCACGAGGAUCUCAUCCCUUUUCCUUAUGGUCAACAUUAGGAGAGGACCUUGCGAGUCAUCCCUGCGAACUGAGGUCUAGUGACAGACUGAAUCCAGUUCCAGUUGGCUUGAAGGUUCAGUCCAGGACUUCGGGUGCUGGCCCGAAGUUGCCAGGACUUUCAAGAUUGGUUUUGUAUAUUUUGUAUUAUUUUCUCUGUUUUUAUUGGUAGCAUUAGUAAAACAUUUUUAAUUUUUCCAACUCUCUUCUCUCUGUCCUUCUUUCCUUCCCAAUCACCUGUCCUGAGUGGGAAGUGGGGAGAAGGAGGCGCUGAAGGUGGAAAGUGGGGGAGAGGGGGUUAACAAUACAUCUGCCAGGGUUUUAUUGUCACCCCGCAAUCAAACCUCGACACAUAGCUGACACAGCACCAAGGCUAUCGAGUGCCUGUAAAGCUGAAGUUCCCUUGGAACCCUGGCUGUGGAGCUGAAACCCACUGCAGAUGGCUCCCCUGGCCUCUGGGGGGGUGGCUGGUCACCAUCUCAGGAAACCAGAAAUGUUCUUUUUUUCAAAAACUGCCCAUCUGCCUUUGUGCUCUUGAAGCUGGCAUGAUCCUACAUGGGUGUUUUGACAAAUGGAAAUGUUCUGGUUUCAGCUGGAAAAUGCCAUUUCGGUGCACAGCUUAGGGAAGGGACUGGCGUAACUUGGUAUAUGUGAUCGUGAGCCCUCAGACAGUUCCACACCAUUAACAGCUGAUGAUAAAAGUUACAGCCAACUGUGACCUUUCUCCAUUUUCUCCAUGUAUGAUAAGAUACGGUAAAAACUCCUGGCAGAUUUCUUUUUUUUAAUCUAAUUACUCAAGUACUGCACAAUUAUUAAUUAAUUAUUCAAGUACUGCACAGUUAUUAUUUGUUUUCUCUCUGCUUUGUGAGCAGUGUUAAUAUCACUUGUUUGGUGUACACACAAAUGUUUGGACAUUUCAUUGGAAGUUGCAGCCAAAAACGUAUCAACUGUACUUUCACAUCUGUUGCCUUUAUGUCUUUGUAAAUGGAUAUUUUAAUGUGGCAAGGGUUUUUUGGACUUUGUAAAGUGAAUUUCUCUCUUCAGAAAUCCCCAUUCAUCUCUGUUUUCCAAAAAAAAUAACUUCUGCCCUCCUAUUCGGAUACAUUUAAAGAAUUCUAACAGAUCUCUACUACGCUUGUGUAAUGUAAAAAUGCAAUUGAAGGUCCAAACAAUGGUUAAAAUGUGUUCGUGUACUAUGGCCAGAAAUAGUAAAAAUCUGUGAAUAUUUAAUGCUCUUUAUUUCAUUGCCUUUAAAAUCAAGCAAUCUUGGGAUGAUGUGUUCAAGUGAACGUUUCCAUGUUGUUUACACACAAGUCAGAAGUAAACAAGAAGUUCCAUAGUGUAGUUUCUUCUACAAAGCUGGCUUUAAAAUACAGUUCCUAGAAACACUAAACCAUCUUAAAGCACAAAAGUAAUCAGAAAAUGACGCGUAAUCCUUGUUAAUCCACCUUAUUGACCUAUGUGCUCUAAUAAAUAAAUAAAUUAAA